UACGUAGGGGCCUAGCGUUGUCCGGAUUUAUUGGGCGUAAAGCGCUCGCAGGUGGUUCGUCGCGUCGUGCGUGAAAGACCCCGGCUCAACUGGGGGGUGUCGUGCGAUACGGGCGGACUGGAGGCCAGUAGGGGGAUGCGGAAUUCCGGGUGUAGUGGUGGAAUGCGUAGAGAUCCGGAGGAACACCAGCGGCGAAGGCGGCAUCCUGGACUGGUCCUGACACUCAGGAGCGAAAGCGUGGGGAGCGAUCCGG
rnacentral:rRNA from 1 species